rnacentral:tRNA from 1 species
GCUCUGUAGCAUAGUGGUAAGGUGCAGGGCUCGUAACCAAAAGGUUGCUGGUUCAAUUCCAAGCUGCGGCA